rnacentral:rRNA from 1 species
UUAUUCCUACGGGGCGCAGCAGUGAGGAAUAUUGGUCAAUGGCCGGGAGGCUGAACCAGCCAAGUCGCGUGAGGGAAGACGGCCCUACGGGUUGUAAACCUCUUUUGUCAGGGAGCAAGGUGCAGGUCGGGACCUGCUGUGAGAGUACCUGAAGAAAAAGCAUCGGCUAACUCCGUGCCAGCAGCCGCGGUAAUACGGAGGAUGCGAGCGUUAUCCGGAUUUAUUGGGCGUAAAGGGAACGCAGGCGGUCUUUUAAGUCUGAUGUGAAAGCCUUCGGCUUAACCGGAGUAGUGCAUUGGAAACUG